rnacentral:rRNA from 1 species
UAAGCGGAGGAAAAGAAACCAACAGGGAUUGCCCUAGUAACGGCGAGUGAAGCGGCAACAGCUCAAAUUUGAAAUCUGGCUACCUUUCGUAGUCCGAGUUGUAAUUUGUAGAGGAUGCUUUUGGUGAGGUGCCUUCCGAGUUCCCUGGAACGGGACGCCAUAGAGGGUGAGAGCCCCGUACGGUUGGAUACCAAGCCUCUGUAUAGCUCCUUCAACGAGUCGAGUAGUUUGGGAAUGCUGCUCUAAAUGGGAGGUAUAUCUCUUCUAAAGCUAAAUAUAGGCUAGAGACCGAUAGCGCACAAGUAGAGUGAUCGAAAGAUGAAAAGCACUUUGAAAAGAGAGUUAAACAGCACGUGAAAUUGUUGAAAGGGAAGCGCCUAUGACCAGACUUGUUUCUGGCAGUUUCGUUAGCCCUCGGGCUGAUUUACUCUGUCCAGUACAGGCCAGCAUCAGUUUGUUGUCGGGGAGAAAGGCUCUGGGAACGUAGCUCCCCCCUUCUGGGGGGAGUGUUAUAGCCCUCUGCAUAAUACCCUUCGGCAGACUGAGGACCGCGCUUCGGCAAGGAUGCUGGCGUAAUGGUCAUCAGCGACCCGUCUUGAAACACGGACCAAGGAGUCAACCUUAUGUGCGAGUGUUUGGGUGUAAAACCCCAGCGCGUAAUGAAAGUGAACGUAGGUGAGAGCUUCGGCGCAUCAUCGACCGAUUCUGAUGUUUUCGGAUGGAUUUGAGUAAGAGCACACAGGGUUGGACCCGAAAGAAGGUGAACUAUGCUUGUAUAGGGUGAAGCCAGAGGAAACUCUGGUGGAGGCUCGCAGCGGUUCUGACGUGCAAAUCGAUCGUCAAAUAUGAGCAUGGGGGCGAAAG